UACGGAGGGUGCGAGCGUUAAUCGGAAUUACUGGGCGUAAAGCGUGCGCAGGCGGUUAUACAAGACAGAUGUGAAAUCCCCCGGGCUCAACCUGGGAAUUGCAUUUGUGACUGUAUGGCUAGAGUGUGUCAGAGGGGGGUAGAAUUCCACGGUGUAGCAGUGAAAUGCGUAGAUAUGUGGAGGAAUACCGAUGGCGAAGGCAGCCCCCCUGGGAUAACACUGACGCUCAUGGCACGAAAGCGUGGGGAGCAAACAGG
rnacentral:rRNA from 1 species